GUGGCGAACGGGUGAGUAACACGUGAGUAACCUGCCCUUGACUCUGGGAUAAGCGUUGGAAACGACGUCUAAUACCGGAUACGAGCUGGGACCGCAUGGUCACCAGCUGGAAAGAACUUCGGUCAAGGAUGGACUCGCGGCCUAUCAGCUAGUUGGUGAGGUAACGGCUCACCAAGGCGACGACGGGUAGCCGGCCUGAGAGGGUGACCGGCCACACUGGGACUGAGACACGGCCCAGACUCCUACGGGAGGCAGCAGUGGGGAAUAUUGCACAAUGGGCGCAAGCCUGAUGCAGCAACGCCGCGUGAGGGACGACGGCCUUCGGGUUGUAAACCUCUUUUAGCAGGGAAGAAGCGAAAGUGACGGUACCUGCAGAAAAAGCACCGGCUAACUACGUGCCAGCAGCCGCGGUAAUACGUAGGGUGCAAGCGUUGUCCGGAAUUAUUGGGCGUAAAGAGCUCGUAGGCGGUCUGUCGCGUCUGCUGUGAAAACCCGAGGCUCAACCUCGGGCCUGCAGUGGGUACGGGCAGACUAGAGUGCGGUAGGGGAGAUUGGAAUUCCUGGUGUAGCGGUGGAAUGCGCAGAUAUCAGGAGGAACACCGAUGGCGAAGGCAGAUCUCUGGGCCGUAACUGACGCUGAGGAGCGAAAGCGUGGGGAGCGAACAGGAUUAGAUACCCUGGUUGUCCAC
rnacentral:rRNA from 1 species